rnacentral:rRNA from 1 species
GAUGAACGCUGGCGGCGUGCCUAAUACAUGCAAGUCGAGCAAACAGAUAAGGAGCUUGCUCCUUUGACGUUAGCGGCGGACGGGUGAGUUACACGUGGAUAACCUACCUAUAAGACUGGGAUAACUUCGGGAAACCGGAGCUAAUACCGGAUAACAUAUUGAACCGCAUGGUUCAAUAGUGAAAGGCGGCUUUGCUGUCACUUAUAGAUGGAUCCGCGCCGUAUUAGCUAGUUGGUAAGGUAACGGCUUACCAAGGCAACGAUACGUAGCCGACCUGAGAGGGUGAUCGGCCACACGGGAACUGAGACACGGUCCAGACUCCUACGGGAGGCAGCAGUAGGGAAUCUUCCGCAAUGGGCGAAAGCCUGACGGAGCAACGCCGCGUGAGUGAUGAAGGUCUUCGGAUCGUAAAACUCUGUUAUCAGGGAAGAACAAAUGUGUAAGUAACUGUGCACAUCUUGACGGUACCUGAUCAGAAAGCCACGGCUAACUACGUG